UACGUAGGGUGCGAGCGUUAAUCGGAAUUACUGGGCGUAAAGCGUGCGCAGGCGGUUUUGUAAGCCAGAUGUGAAAUCCCCGGGCUCAACCUGGGAAUGGCAUUUGGGACUGCAGGGCUGGAGUUUGGCAGAGGAGACUGGAAUUCCCGGUGUAGCAGUGAAAUGCGUAGAUAUCGGGAGGAAUACCGAUGGCGAAGGCAGGUCUCUGGGCUAUAACUGACGCUCAUGCACGAAAGCGUGGGGAGCAAACAGG
rnacentral:rRNA from 1 species